AAAGGCUUAUGUGGAGUUCAAGGUAGGGAUGAAAGGAGAUAGCAUACUUACUUUGCAUGUAUUGCGAAGUCAAAGCUCGGAUCCUUGAAGAGAAGUGUCAUACUCCCAGAUCAAGAUGUGCAAGUGUGAUAUAUGGUGGACUAGGUUGCUCCUUUAUUUGAUAGACUCUCUAUGUAUUGAGACAUGGCUAGCAUUUUUUUCUUCUUUUUUUUUAUAUAUAUGAGCUUUCAUGUGCUCAAUUUUCUUUUUCUGUGGACUUGCACAUGUCCAUCUUUUUAUUUCAUUUUGCCUAGCCUUUUGAUGUCUCAUUUACCAAAUAAUGCUUAGAGAGAUGUUCUAACAUUUAGAGUAUG
rnacentral:lncRNA from 1 species